UCUGCUGGUGAAACAGAGGCGUAGAUAGGUUUAAAAGCCUAGGUAGUUUAAAACUCCAGAUAUGGGAUGAGUGAUGGUUAAGAGCACUGGCUGUUUCUCCACAAGACCCAGGUUCAAUUCCCAGCACAUACAUGGCUGCUCACACCUGUCUGUUCCAGGAGAUCUAAUGCUCUCUUUUGGCCUCUGGGGGCAUCAAGCAUGCACAUGGUGUACAGAAAUAUAUGGUGGCAAAACAUUCAUGCAUAUAAAAUUAAAACCAAAACAACCCUUUCUGCCAUCUUCCUUCGCCGCCACCAUGGUGUGAAUGAAUGUUCUGGCGGAUGCUCUCAAGAGCAUCAACAACGCUGAGAAGAGAGGCAAACGCCAGGUCCUCAUCAGGCCAUGUUCUAAAGUCAUCGUUCGGUUCUUAACUGUGAUGAUGAAGCACGGAUACAUUGGUGAAUUCGAGAUCAUUGAUGGUCACAGAGCUGGGAAGAUUGUUGUGAACCUCACAGGAAGGUUGAACAAGUGUGGCGUUAUAAGCCCUAGAUUUGAUGUUCAACUCAAAGACCUAGAGAAAUGGCAGAACAACCUGCUCCCUUCACGUCAGUUUGGCCUCAUUGUGCUGACAACCUCGGCUGGCAUUAUGGACCAUGAAGAGGCAAGACGAAAACAUACAGGAGGGAAAAUCCUGGGAUUCUUUUUUUAAAUGUAAAGCAUAAAUAAAAAGCCUUUGUGGACUGUGAAAAAAAAAAAAAAACCAAAACAACCAAACAAAACCUCCCCAAACAAACCCCCCCGAAACCAAGAACACGCAACCCAGAUACCCAGAUGUAGUCUAUAAU